AUUGAACGCUGGCGGCAGGCUUAACACAUGCAAGUCGAGCGAGCGGCGGACGGGUGAGUAAUGUCUGGGAAACUGCCUGAUGGAGGGGGCUAACUACUGGAAACGGUAGCUAAUACCGCAUACCAUCGGAUGUGCCCAGAUGGGAUUAGCUAGUAGGUGGGGUAACGGCGCACCUAGGCGACGAUGCCUAGCUGGGCUGAGAGGAUGACCAGCCACACUGGGACUGAGACACGGUCCAGACUCCUACGGGAGGCAGCAGUGGGGAAUAUUCCACAAUGGGCGAAAGCCUGAUGCAGCCACGCCGCGUGAGUGAAGACGGCUUUCGGAUUGUAAAGUACUUUCGGCGGGGAGGCGGUACUCGCAGAGAAAGCCCCGGCUAACUCCGUGCCAGCAGCCGCGGUAAUAC
rnacentral:rRNA from 1 species